rnacentral:rRNA from 1 species
UACGUAGGGUGCGAGCGUUAAUCGGAAUUACUGGGCGUAAAGCGUGCGCAGGCGGGUUUGGAAGCCAGAUGUGAAAUCCCCGGGCUCAACCUGGGAAUGGCAUUUGGGACUGCAAGGCUGGAGUACGGCAGAGGAGACUGGAAUUCCUGGUGUAGCAGUGAAAUGCGUAGAUAUCAGGAGGAAUACCGAUGGCGAAGGCAGGUCUCUGGGCUGAUACUGACGCUCAUGCACGAAAGCGUGGGGAGCAAACAGG